UGGGGAAUCUUGCACAAUGGGCGAAAGCCUGAUGCAGCGACGCCGCGUGCGGGAUGAAGGCCUUCGGGUUGUAAACCGCUUUCAGCAGGGACGAGGCCGCAAGGUGACGGUACCUGCAGAAGAAGCCCCGGCUAACUACGUGCCAGCAGCCGCGGUAAUACGUAGGGGGCAAGCGUUAUCCGGAUUUAUUGGGCGUAAAGCGCGCGUAGGCGGUUUGUUAGGUCAGGAGUUAAAUCUGGGGGCUCAACCCCUAUCCGCUCCUGAUAUCGGCAGGCUUGCGUCUGGUAGGGGAAAGCGGAAUUCCAAGUGUAGCGGUGAAAUGCGCAGAUAUUUGGAAGAACUCCGGUGGCGAAGGCAGCCUUCUGGGCCAAGACUGACGCUGAGGCGCGAAAGCUAGGGGAGCGAACAGG
rnacentral:rRNA from 1 species